ACUUUUGGACCCAAGGAAUUUGUUAAAGUGUCCCUACCGAUUGUUGUUAGGAAAAAAACACGUAAUUUUCUCAUUUACGACACAUUUUUCUAAAAACCGCAGAGUGGCGCCACUGCAGUAUUUGUUUGGUCGACAUACCACGUUGGCUGUCAGAAAUGCACACUGCAGUAAGGCGGUAUUUGAGUUAUAUUUUAGAAGUGCCUAGACAAAAUGUGCUCCUUGUCGUGUGCAGUAACCAUCGCAAACCCUCCGGACUCGUGUAACGCCGUUAGUUCGCCGUGUGUUUCGUGCGAUCUACCAGUGUCGACAGUGAGUGUCUUACUACAGCGCCCGUCCGAGAGCUGCCUUUGUUCUGCCCACGCUCCCGUGAAAAGUCUGGUACUGGAGCUUCGAAUCGUAGUGUAUGGAAGGCUGUUGAAGGUUGUGCUUUUGUGGAGCUGGAGUUCAUCGGAAGUUCUACAGUGCUUGCGCCAGAAAGACGUCGGUGCCUCGGUACCUUUGAGACGAAGGAGCGUUGGCCAAGUCUUUUUGAAAGGCUAUGCGGAUUCUGGAGGCAUCCCUACAUCGAGCAGGAACCUGCUGCACUGCUGGAAGCUGGACAGCACGACAAUAAAGCACGUGAUCUGUGUGCUUUCUCAAAGGUAGACAUCGGCGACGGUGUAUAUGGUGAAAAGGGCCUGCUGAAGAGGCUGCGCCUGGAUGCUAACAACUCGGGCUUUCAGUUUGCGGGGGGCCUCCUUAAGGCUCCUUUUACAAAAGAAGAGGUUGAAGGGAGGCGCUACACAUGGAUGCGCAGCGAUUGUUUGUGAGAGCGUCACUGGCCUGCCUUUUCGCUUUGUUCUGGGUUUUCCACGUUAUCUACUCGAAAAAGGCCCACAGGAUUUUGACAUUUAUUGAGCACUGCUUUCUGGAUUUUUGCUACACAAAGCCGCAGGUGAAAGCAUUGGAUUUAGUCAAUUUUUACAAGAACUAUUGCUAAAAAAAA